AGUAUAAAACGGGCCACUAGAAAGCAACAGUAUCAGAACCCGAUAAAGGCGAAGGGAACUACAAGAAUUAUAACCUCAUUAACAAUGAAGAUCAUUAUGCAAAUAAUAAUGGUGCUGGCGUGUGUUCUGAACACAGGUUUCGGUCUGGUUUUAUUGGACACGUUGACAAACACUCUCCAGCAGGUGCUCGGAGGCUCCAGCGGUACUGCUACCACAUUACCCAGUGUCACCACAGCAUCCAGUACCACCGAAGCACCCACUACAGUGGCGGCGUAGAGUGGGGUGGCACCCGGGGAGGUAUUCUAACCCCUGCUGCCUACAAACGUAAUAUGUUAAUAAAUACGAAAUAGAAAGUUG